UACAGAGGGGGCAAGCGUUGUUCGGAAUUACUGGGCGUAAAGGGCGCGUAGGCGGCCUUCUAAGUCGAACGUGAAAUCCCCGGGCUCAACCCGGGAACUGCGUCCGAUACUGGAAGGCUUGAAUCCGGGAGAGGGAUGCGGAAUUCCAGGUGUAGCGGUGAAAUGCGUAGAUAUCUGGAGGAACACCGGUGGCGAAGGCGGCAUCCUGGACACCUACUGACGCUGAGGCGCGAAAGCCAGGGGAGCGAACGGG
rnacentral:rRNA from 1 species